GACGAAGGGGGCUAGCGUUGUUCGGAAUUACUGGGCGUAAAGCGCGUGUAGGCGGUUGUCCAAGUUGGAUGUGAAAGCCUUGAGCUCAACUCAAGAAAUGCAUUCAGGACUGGAUGACUAGAGGACCGGAGAGGAUAGUGGAAUUCCCAGUGUAGUGGUGAAAUACGUAGAGAUUGGGAAGGACACCAGUGGCGAAGGCGGCUAUCUGGACGGUUUCUGACGCUAAGACGCGAAAGCGUGGGGAGCAAACAGG
rnacentral:rRNA from 1 species